rnacentral:rRNA from 1 species
CUACGGGACGCUGCAGUGAGGAAUAUUGCACAAUGGAGGAAACUCUGAUGCAGCAACGCCGCGUGGAGGAUGACGCAUUUCGGUGUGUAAACUCCUUUUAUGAGUCAAGAAAAUGACGGUAGCUCAUGAAUAAGCACCGGCUAACUCCGUGCCAGCGAGCCGCGGUAAUACGGAGGGUGCAAGCGUUACUCGGAAUCACUGGGCGUAAAGGACGCGUAGGCGGGAUAUCAAGUCAGGUGUGAAAUCCUACAGCUUAACUGUAGAACUGCACUUGAAACUGGUAACCUAGAGUAUGGGAGGGGGAGAUGGAAUUAGUGGUGUAGGGGUAAAAUCCGUAGAUAUCACUAGGAAUACCUAAAGCGAAGGCGAUCUCCUGGAACAUAACUGACGCUAAGGCGCGAAAGCGUGGGGAGCAAACAGGAUUAGAUACCCGUGUAGUC